rnacentral:rRNA from 1 species
GAUGAACGCUGGCGGCAUGCUUUACACAUGCAAGUCGAACGGCAGCGGGGGCUUCGGCCUGCCGGCGAGUGGCGAACGGGUGAGUAAUGCAUCGGAACGUGCCCAUGUCGUGGGGGAUAACGUAUCGAAAGGUACGCUAAUACCGCAUACGCCCUGAGGGGGAAAGCGGGGGAUUCUUCGGAACCUCGCGCGAUUGGAGCGGCCGAUGUCGGAUUAGCUAGUAGGUGAGGUAAAGGCUCACCUAGGCGACGAUCCGUAGCGGGUCUGAGAGGAUGAUCCGCCACACUGGGACUGAGAUACGGCCCAGACUCCUACGGGAGGCAGCAGUCGAGAGGCUUCGGCAAUGGGGGAAACCCUGACCGAGCGACGCCGCGUGAGGGAUGAAGGCCCUUGGGUUGUAAACCUCUUUUGUUCGGGAAGAAGUGCGAUCAGGUGAAUAAUCUGGUCGUUUGACGGUACCGGACGAAUAAGCUCCGGCUAACUCCGUGCCAGCAGCCGCGGUAAAUGACG